rnacentral:rRNA from 1 species
GACGAACGCUGGCGGCGUGCUUAACACAUGCAAGUCGAACGGAAAGGCCCUGCUUUUGUGGGGUGCUCGAUUGGCGAACGGGUGAGUAACACGUGAGUAACCUGCCCUUGACUUUGGGAUAACUUCAGGAAACUGGGGCUAAUACCGGAUAGGAGCUCCUGCUGCAUGGUGGGGGUUGGAAAGUUUCGGCGGUUGGGGAUGGACUCGCGGCUUAUCAGCUUGUUGGUGGGGUAGUUGCUUACCAAGGCUUUGACGGGUAGCCGGCCUGAGAGGGUGACCGGCCACAUUGGGCCUGAGAUACGGCCCAGACUCCUACGGGAGGCAGCAGUGGGGAAUCUUGCACAAUGGGCGCAAGCCUGAUGCAGCAACGCCGCGUGCGGGAUGACGGCCUUCGGGUUGUAAACCGAUUUCGCCUGUGACGAAGCGUGAGUGACGGUAAUGGGUAAAGAAGCACCGGCUAACUACGUG